ACGAACGCUGGCGGCGUGCUUAACACAUGCAAGUCAAGGGGAAAAUUCUCUUUCGGAGAGUGAGUAUACUGGCGAACGGGUGCGUAACGCGUGGGGUAAUCUACCCUCGAGAUUGGGAUAACUCACCGAAAGGUGUGCUAAUACCAAAUAAAGUCUCAGUAGUUAUAUUGGGAUUAAAGAUGGGGACCUUCGGGCCUAUUGCUUGAGGAUGAGCCUGCGUCUGAUUAGCUUGUUGGUAGGGUAAUGGCCUACCAAGGCUGCGAUCAGUAGCUGGUCUGAGAGGAUGAUCAGCCACAUUGGGACUGAGAUACGGCCCAGACUCCUACGGGAGGCAGCAGUGAGGAAUUUUGCGCAAUGGGCGAAAGCCUGACGCAGCAACGCCGCGUGACUGAUGAAGCUCUGAGGAGUGUAAAGGUCUGUCGCAGGGGAAGAAUAAGUCUGACGAGAAUAUUUUCAGAUGAUGACGGUACCCUGUGAGAAAGCUCCGGCUAACUCCGUGCCAGCAGCCGCGGUAAUACGGGGGGGAGCAAGCGUUGUCCGGAAUCAUUGGGCGUAAAGGGCAUGUACGCGUCCCGAUAAGUUUUUGGUUAAAUCCUUCUGCUCAACGGAAGACUUGCCAGAAAAACUGUCGGGAUUGAGUUCGGAAGAGGAAAGCGGAAUUCCUGGUGUAGCGGUGAAAUGCGUAGAUAUCAGGAAGAACACCGGUGGCGAAGGCGGCUUUCUGGUCCGAAACUGACGCUGAUAUGCGAAAGCGUGGGUAGCGACAGGAUAGAUACCUUGUAGUCAAGGCCG
rnacentral:rRNA from 1 species